rnacentral:rRNA from 1 species
UAAGGAAUAUUGGUCAAUGGACGCAAGUCUGAACCAGCCAUGCCGCGUGAAGGAUGAAGGUCCUCUGGAUUGUAAACUUCUUUUAUCUGGGACGAAAACGGGAUUUUUAUCUCAAUUGACGGUACCAGAGGAAUAAGCACCGGCUAACUCCGUGCCAGCAGCCGUGGUAAUACGGAGGGUGCGAGCGUUAUCCGGAUUUACUGGGUUUAAAGGGUACGUAGGUGGGCUUAUAAGUCAGUGGUAAAAUCUCCGAGCUUAACUUGGAAACUGCCGUUGAUACUAUAGGUCUUGAAUUAUCUGGAGGUAAGCGGAAUAUGUCAUGUAGCGGUGAAAUGCUUAGAUAUGACAUAGAACACCAAUUGCGAAGGCAGCUUACUACAUAUAAAUUGACGCUGAGGCACGAAAGCGUGGGGAUCAAACA